UACGUAGGGUGCAAGCGUUGUCCGGAAUUAUUGGGCGUAAAGAGCUCGUAGGCGGUUUGCCGCGUCUGCUGUGAAAACUCAGGGCUUAACUCUGAGCUUGCAGUGGGUACGGGCAGACUAGAGUGCGGUAGGGGAGACUGGAAUUCCUGGUGUAGCGGUGAAAUGCGCAGAUAUCAGGAGGAACACCGGUGGCGAAGGCGGGUCUCUGGGCCGUAACUGACGCUGAGGAGCGAAAGCAUGGGGAGCGAACAGG
rnacentral:rRNA from 1 species